GAUGAACGCUAGCUACAGGCUUAACACAUGCAAGUCGAGGGGAGACGGCAUUGAGUGCUUGCACUCUUUGGGCGUCGACCGGCGCACGGGUGAGUAACGCGUAUCCAGCCUUCCCAUUACUGUGGGAUAACCUGCCGAGAGGCAGGCUAAUACCGCAUAGUCUUCGAUGACGGCAUCAGAUUUGGAGUAAAGAUUUAUCGGUGAUGGAUGGGGAUGCGUCUGAUUAGCUUGUUGGCGGGGUGACGGCCCACCGAGGCAACGAUCAGUAGGGGUUCUGAGAGGGAGGUCCCCCGCAUUGGUGCUGAGGCACGGUCCGGGCUCCUACGGGAGGCAGCAGUGAGGGGUAUUGGUCUAUGGACGGGGGUCUGAACCGGCCUGGUGGCGUGCAGGAUGACGGCCCUAUGGGUUGUGUGCUGCUUUUGUAUGGGGAU
rnacentral:rRNA from 1 species